UACGGGGGGAGCAAGCGUUGUUCGGAUUUACUGGGCGUAAAGGGCGCGUAGGCGGUCGUGACAAGUCACUUGUGAAAUCUCCGGGCUUAACUCGGAACGGUCAAGUGAUACUGUCGGACUAGAGUACAGAAGGGGCAACUGGAAUUCUCGGUGUAGCGGUGAAAUGCGUAGAUAUCGAGAGGAACACCUGCGGCGAAAGCGGCGCACUGGACCAUAACUGACGCUGAGGCGCGAAAGCUAGGGGAGCAAACAGG
rnacentral:rRNA from 1 species